rnacentral:rRNA from 1 species
CCUACGGGUGGCAGCAGUGGGGAAUAUUGGACAAUGGGGGAAACCCUGAAGCAGCGAAGCCGCGUGAGUGAAGAAGGAUUUCGGGAUGUAAACUUUCAUCAGCCAGGAAGAAAAGGGCGGUACCUGACUAAGAAGCCGCGGAUAACUACGUGAAAGAAGCGGCGGUAAUACGUAGGGGGCAAGCGUUAUCCGGAGUUACUGGGUGUAAAGGGAGCGUAUACGGCAUGGCAAGUCCGCCGUGAAAAUCCGGGGGCUAAACCCGGGAGUGCCUUUGAAACUGGCAGGCUAGAGUGUCGGAGAGGCAAGUGGAAUGCGUAGUGUAGCGGUGAAAUGCGUAGAUAUUAGGAGGAACACCAGUGGCGAAGGCGGCUUGCUGGACGAUGACUGACGUUGAGGCUCGAAAGCGUGGGGAGCAAACAGGAUUAGAUACCCCAGUAGUC